rnacentral:rRNA from 1 species
GACGAACGCUGGCGGCGUGCUUAACACAUGCAAGUCGAACGGAAAGGCCCUGCUUGCCGGGUACUCGAGUGGCGAACGGGUGAGUAACACGCGCGUGAUCUGCCCUGCACUUCGGGAUAAGCCUGGACAACUGGGUCUAAUACCGGCUAGGAGCCAUUUUUAGUGUGAUGGUUGGAAAGUUUUUUCGGUGUAGGAUGAGCUCGCGGCCUAUCGGCUUGUUGGUGGGGUAAUGGCCUACCAAGGCGGCGACGGGUAGUCGGCCUGAGGGGGUGGACGGCCACAUUGGGACUGAGAUGCGGCCCAGACUCCUACGGGAGGCAGCAGUGGGGAAUAUUGCACGAGGGGCGCAAGCCUGAUGCAGAGACGCCGCGUGGGGGAUGACGGCCUUCGGGUUGUAGACGCAUUUCGCUAGGGACGAAGCUUUUUGUGACGGUACCUAGAUAAGAAGCACCGGCUAACUACGUG